AUCCUACGGGGGGCAGCAGUGAGGAAUAUUGGUCAAUGGGCGGGAGCCUGAACCAGCCAAGUCGCGUGAGGGAUGACGGCCCUAUGGGUUGUAAACCUCUUUUGCCGGGGAGCAAAGUGCCGCACGUGUGCGGUUUGGAGAGUACCCGGAGAAAAAGCAUCGGCUAACUCCGUGCCAGCAGCCGCGGUAAUACGGAGGAUGCGAGCGUUAUCCGGAUUUAUUGGGUUUAAAGGGAGCGUAGGUGGAUUGUUAAGUCAGUUGUGAAAGUUUGCGGCUCAACCGUAAAAUUGCAGUUGAAACUGGCA
rnacentral:rRNA from 1 species